CCGCCCUGUGCCCGAGGCGAGGCUGCGGGCGAGGGGCACCCAGCUGCCCCGGGGGGGGACACACAGGAGCACCGAGAGCCCGUCCCGGCCGGUCCCCGCCGGCCCGGGGAGGCGGAGCAGGGGCGGGGAGGUGCCGCGGGCCGGCCCCAAACCCUGAGCGCUGCCCGCGCCCGGGGAGGGCUGCUCGGGGCAGCCGCCCCCAUUGGCAGCGGCGUGCGCCCUCCUCUUCCUCCCUCCUCUUCCCUCCUCCGGGGGGGGCUUCAGCCCUCCUCUUUCCUAAAGGAGGAGGAGGAGGAGGAGGAGGAGGAGGAGGGGGGGAGAGUCUUUAAAAAAAUUAAAAGAAAAAGAAAUCCCAAGUCGUGUCCCCGACGUCUCAGCGGCCGCCCCACAUUCCUGGCAUUCCUGCGCCGUGACUCCCCGCACCGCGCCGCCCCGGCCCCGGCCCCGGCCCCGCCGCCUCCGGCUCGCCCCCGCGGGCCGCCCGUCCCCGCCCUGCCGCCUGCCUCCUUCCCUCCUUCCCUGCCUCCUUCCCUGCCUCCCUGCCCGCCUCCCUCCGUCCCGCACCCCGCGGGCGGCAGCAGGAGCUCCGGGCGCCGCCGCCGCCCCGCCGAACUUCCCCGCCGUGGCCGGGCCGGGGCGGCGGGAGCGGCUUCUCCCUGCCCAGCGCCCCGGGGAGCGGCCCCGCCGCUGCUCCCCGCCCGCAGCCGCGGAGCCGGAGCCGCCCAGCAGGAAGAGGCUUGGCUACCCCUUCCCUGCCCCAUGCCUUCUUCUCCAGCCCCACUGAAGCUGUGUCUCCGCGAGUGGGAUUCACUGAGAGAGAGCUGCCGCCGCCGCAGUGCCUUUCAAGUACUGGUAAGCCAUUAGAAGGAGCUGCCAUCAUCUCAGAUCUUAAUCUGUUUUAGCAGAUAAAGAGGAAAAUGCUAUCAGAGGAGAUGGAGUUAUCAUUUGGGUGCAGAAAUCGCAUGAAAAGAACGCGAGUUGUGUAAGAAGUGCCAAAACCUCUGAUGAGUUUCCUUGGGACUUGUCAGUUUUCGUGCACCGACUCCGCUUUCUCCGUGACAUGUUUUGCCUGGAGGCAGCAGUAAGCCAUCAAAAUAUAACAGGAUAUCCUGCCACGCAAGGGCGAAGAUCUUAAGGAUCCAGGUCUCCCAAGGCUGUGGCUGGCUGAUGUAAGCUAUUCUCAAGUGGAAUCUCCAGUUUUGGAGUGAUAGUUUUUUAAAGUUGUUUGUUUUGUUUUGCUUUAAAAGAAAAAGUUGCAUGUUUUUUGCAUACCACCAACUGCUCACGGAAGAUAAGAAAUUGCAGCAGCCAGAGCUUCAGAUUUAUUGCUGUGGUCGAUUUCCUGUUAUUUUUAAUAGGAUAUGGCCCCUCCACUUUCAAACUACUGAGCUGUAUCAAAGAGAGUGGAUCGCGUUUCAGACCACCGUGCCUGUGGGUUUUUCAACACAUGCUCGUGACCGGGCUUCAGGCGCCCUGAGCAGGGUUAGAGCUGGUUUAACGCUCUCUUUGUGUUUGCAGACAUGUGCCAGCUGCUGGGGACGAGGAUUUUUAGGAGCUGGCAUUUGGUUCAAUUUAAAGUAGCUUUGUUUGUUUAAAAAACAAACAAACAAACAAAAAAAACCUUCCAUAAAUUUGGGAAUUUGCAGCUGGCUGAUAGAAGAGAGAUUCAGGCUCUUUGCCGUGGCUGGAGGGGUGGGUGGAAAUUGGCUGGUGAGCUUUUAGCAGGUAAAGUUGGGGUUAAACAUCAAGGUUUUAACAGAAAAACAUGCCUCCGCCCCCUCCGAUUAAUUUUGUUUGGAUUCUUUUGACUGUUUUCAUUCAAAACCGUUCUGAGCGCUGUGUGUAAGUAGUCAAAAUAUCCCAGUGUUCUGGUGUGUGAUAAAAAUAAGGGAACGGCAAACUGAGCCAGGCUGUAACAGAGCCCCGGAGAGAGCUAGGGGAGGGAGUUCAGCUGGUCUGCAGUUGCUGUGGUGCUGGUAGGACUUGGAGAUGGAGGGGGGCUAGUGCCCUGCUCGGGGUCCAGAGUAACGCCCUGCAGUCCUUGUGCAUGGCGUGACGCAGUUGCCCUUUGGCAGGCUGAAUUCAUAAUUGUCAUUGUUCAGUAGCUAUUUGUAGACUCCAUAGUAAAUUUCAAAACUGCUGUUUACAAAAUGCUUUGUUGUUUUGCUUUUCAGUCAGGCUUUAUACAGGCCUUUUGUGUCUUGGUGGGCUUGGGUGGUGUCUUUGUCCUCAGACCAUCUGUUUUAAUUUCAGUAAUAGCAAUGAGCAAUGAAGUUAAUUUUAGGGGUGUAUACUUUAGUGUUUUCAUUUACCACGGUUUUAAACCUCAAGUCACACAGAACAAUAGGUGCUUCUCUGACCCAUAUUUCACAAAGCUUAAGGCCAUGGGUACACGUUUCUUGGGAUUUAGCAUUAGCAAUUGAUCAGUUUGAGCAAUAAAUUUUCAGUGUCCAUCCUUAAAAAGUCA
rnacentral:lncRNA from 1 species